AGUCNAACGAUGAAGCCCUUCGGGGUGGAUUAGUGGCGAACGGGUGAGUAACACGUGGGCAAUCUGCCCUUCACUCUGGGACAAGCCCUGGAAACGGGGUCUAAUACCGGAUAACACUUACCUCCUCCUGGGGGUUGGUUAAAAGCUCCGGCGGUGAAGGAUGAGCCCGCGGCCUAUCAGCUUGUUGGUGGGGUAAUGGCCUACCAAGGCGACGACGGGUAGCCGGCCUGAGAGGGCGACCGGCCACACUGGGACUGAGACACGGCCCAGACUCCUACGGGAGGCAGCAGUGGGGAAUAUUGCACAAUGGGCGAAAGCCUGAUGCAGCGACGCCGCGUGAGGGAUGACGGCCUUCGGGUUGUAAACCUCUUUCAGCAGGGAAGAAGCGCAAGUGACGGUACCUGCAGAAGAAGCACCGGCUAACUACGUGCCAGCAGCCGCGGUAAUACGUAGGGUGCGAGCGUUGUCCGGAAUUAUUGGGCGUAAAGAGCUCGUAGGCGGUCUGUCACGUCGGAUGUGAAAGCCCGGGGCUUAACCCCGGGUCUGCAUUCGAUACGGGCAGACUAGAGUGUGGUAGGGGAGAUCGGAAUUCCUGGUGUAGCGGUGAAAUGCGCAGAUAUCAGGAGGAACACCGGUGGCGAAGGCGGAUCUCUGGGCCAUUACUGACGCUGAGGAGCGAAAGCGUGGGGAGCGAACAGGAUUAGAUACCCUGGUAGUCCACGCCGUAAACGUUGGGAACUAGGUGUUGGCGACAUUCCACGUCGUCGGUGCCGCAGCUAACGCAUUAAGUUCCCCGCCUGGGGAGUACGGCCGCAAGGCUAAA
rnacentral:rRNA from 1 species